GACGAACGCUGGCGGCGUGCUUAACACAUGCAAGUCGAACGGAGUGGCGAACGGGUGCGUAACACGUGGGUGAUCUGCCUUGCACUUCGGGAUAAGCUUGGGAAACUGGGUCUAAUACCGGAUAGUGCAAGAUGAGCUCGCGGCCUAUCAGCUUGUUGGUGGGGUAAUGGCCUACCAAGGCGUCGACGGGUAGCCGGCCUGAGAGGGUGUACGUCCACAGUGGGACUGGGAUACUGCCCAGACUCCUACGGGAGGCAGCAGGAGGGAAUAUUGCACAACGGGCGGAAGCAUGAUUCAGCGACGCCGCGUGUGGGAUGAAAGCCUUCGUGCUAUAAACUCCUUUCGACAGGGACGCGGUACCUGCAUAAGAAGCACCGGCUAACUACGUGCCAGCAGCCGCGGUAAUAC
rnacentral:rRNA from 1 species